UCUGACUACUGAAAAGCUGGAAACUUGUCAUGUCCUCAUCUGAUCAGGUUCAGGUAGUUGGCCAACAGUGGAACCCUCAGCAAACAAAUGGAACAGUCUAAAAAUAAAAAACGAAAGGGAAGGGGAACGAAGGGGAAAAUCCACCACUGAAAGUGAGCAUAAUUAUAAUAUACUGAGUGAGUGAGAUAAAACUGUCUUUUUAAUGUGCUGCAUGUUUUACAAUCAUUACUGUGUUUUGCAUAAAAGUAUUCAUGAGGUUAGGCUAACAACAUGUUCUUAUUUUCUCUCUGAGCACUUUCAUCUGCCAACAAAAUCAAGUUCAGCUCCCUGCUCCAAUAUGCUUGAAUAGCUUGGGUCAUACUUUAUAACACCUUACCUACGCACAGCUGAUCAGGUUUGAAUAUCUACCCAACAGUGAGUAGGUCUCAUUCUGGCCUCUGUGAAACAAGACAGCAUCAUUCAGAGUCAUAGUUGCUGUUACUGAAGCAUGUCCAUUAAAUAAACAAAGCUUAUUAACCUUA